GAAAUGCGAUAAGUAAUGCGAAUCGCAAAGUCCGCGAGUCAUCGAAUCUUUGAACGCAAAUGGCACUUCUUGGCUAUCCGAGAAGUACGACUGUUUGAGUAUUGGAAUUUACUCUUUCCUUGGAAAGGAUUUGAAUGUCUGUCUGUUCACAGUCAAUGUCUGUCUGUCUGUUUGUUGUUAUAUCUUUGAAAAAAGAUAUGACAAUGACGACGACGACGACGACGACGAUGACGACGACAGUCAUUUAAAAUGAAUAUGUAGAGGUGAUGGUAUAAUUUAUAUAUAACAUCAUUUUCAGGUUGAACCAACUUUGAAAUAUGUUAUAUAUAUUAAUCAUCAUUUCUCUCUCUCUCUUUAUGAUGUGUAUGUAUGUAUGUAUGUGUGGGUUUUCACCACUUAUAUACAUCAUACAUCAUAUCUCUCUAUACAUAUUCAAUCUCAAAUCAGUCGAGAUUACCCGCUGAACUUAAGC
rnacentral:misc_RNA from 1 species